GGGGGGGGGGGGGGGGGGGGCUGGGGGGGGGGGGUGGGGCGGGGGAGGGGGGGUGGGGCGUGGAUGCAGCGGCGGACGGGGGAGUAAUGCCUAGGGAGCGGCCUGGUAGUGGGGGAUAACGUCCGGAGACGGGCGCUAAUACCGCAGACGUCCUGAGGGAGAAAGUGGGGGAUCUUCGGACCUCACGCUAUCAGAUGAGCCUAGGUCGGAUUAGCUAGUUGGUGGGGUAAAGGCCUACCAAGGCGACGAUCCGUAACUGGUCUGAGAGGAUGAUCAGUCACACUGGAACUGAGACACGGUCCAGACUCCUACGGGAGGCAGCAGUGGGGAAUAUUGGACAAUGGGCGAAAGCCUGAUCCAGCCAUGCCGCGUGUGUGAAGAAGGUCUUCGGAUUGUAAAGCACUUUAAGUUGGGAGGAAGGGCAGUAAGUUAAUACCUUGCUGUUUUGACGUUACCAACAGAAUAAGCACCGGCUAACUUCGUG
rnacentral:rRNA from 1 species